UGAGGUAGAAGAAUGACUUGAACCUGGGAAGCAGAGGCUGCAGUGAGCCAAGAUUGCAUCACUACGCUCUAGCCUGGGUGACACGGUGAGACUCUGUCUCAAAAGAGAGAGAGAAAAAGAAAAGAAUAGGAAUGUAGGACUCAGCAACUAGACCAUUCCCAACCUCCUUCUCUGUGAGGCCCUUCUCCUUGAGUGAGAAAACACUGAAUGAGCUGAUGUCUAAGGAUGCUUUGAGCCCUGUCAUUUUAGAAAUCAAUACAUACUUCCGGGAACUGGAGGAUUUAGUUUGGGAAAGUAAAGGUUCCUUGCACUGUGACUAGCUCACCCUGUCACCUUGCUUAAGCACCUUGCCCACUCUAGACCUCAGUUUUCCCAUCUAGAAACUGGAAGCACUGGACUUGGUUGUCCAAGUCCUUCUAGCUUUGAAACUCUAGGCCUCUGCCCUGGUAAGGUUGUGGGAAAAGAAGACCCAGGGAGGCGUAUAUGGGGGCAAGGGGUCAGGGACAGCAAGAAUAAGGUGAUUUUCAGAGAUUCUAUCCAGGAACAAUCCAAGAAGCAACUCAGGUAGGACUGAGGGUUGUAUGAAGCAAUAAGACUCCACAUUCAAAUCAAUUAAAGAGGUCAUGGCCACAGUUUCUGUGUUAGAAAGAAUAGGAGGAGAACUAGGGAAUUGUAUUAUGUGGGACUGUAUUUCGUGGGAUAGAUGGAUAGAUAGACAGACGGGUGGACAGAUGGGUAGAUGGAUAGAUGAAUGGAUUAACAGAUGAACAGAUGGAUAGAUGGAUAAGUGGAUAGAAGCUUGGGUGGACAUAUGGAUGAAUUGGAUGGAUGGAUGGAUGGAUGGAUGGAUGGAUGGACAGAUGGAUGAAAGCUUGGGUGGAUGAAUAGAUGGAUAGACAGCUGAAUGAAAGUUUGGGUAGAAGAAUGGAUAGACAGAUGAAUGGAAGGUUGGGUGGAUAAGUAGAUGAAUGGACAGGUGAAUGGAAGGUUGGGUGGACAGAUGGCUGAAUGAAUGGGUGGAUGGAUAGAUAAAUGGACAAUGAAUGGAUGGACAGGCAGGUAGAUGGAGGAAAGGAUGGGGAAUGUUUAGGAAAGUGGUUUGGUGGAGAGAGUGGGUACAUAUAUUUGGCAGGUGGGAAGAUGCUCAGAUAGAGGGGCAGGCAGAUACAAGUGGGUAAGUAGAUGGGUUUGUGAAUGGGCAGGCAGAUAAACAGAAAGGUCAGUGGGUGUAUGGGCAGGCAGGUGUAUGCCCAGGUGAUUGGAUGGGUGGAUGAGUGGAUGAGUAGGUUUUACAAUGUAAGGGAGUGAGAGGACAAAACUUGACUGAUUGAUUGAUUGGCUUGUUCGUUUUCUUAGCUAUUACCUCAUUUCCUCUUCCAUAUCCUACUCCUAUUCAGCCAGACACCUGAAAAGUUUACAGCAAGUUUCUCUAUGUGUGGAAAUUGUACCAUUUAUAAGAUUAUUUGGCCUGGUGUGGUGGCUCACGCCUGUAAUCCCAGCACUUUGGGAGGCCGAGGCGGGUGGAUCACCUGAGGCCAGGAGUUCAAGACCAGCCUGG
rnacentral:lncRNA from 1 species